rnacentral:rRNA from 1 species
GACGAACGCUGGCGGCGUGCCUAAUACAUGCAAGUCGAACGCUGAAGAGAGGAGCUUGCUCUUCUUGGAUGAGUUGCGAACGGGUGAGUAACGCGUAGGUAACCUGCCUGGUAGCGGGGGAUAACUAUUGGAAACGAUAGCUAAUACCGCAUGAAAUUGCUUAUCGCAUGAUAAUUGAUUGAAAGAUGCAAUUGCAUCACUACCAGAUGGACCUGCGUUGUAUUAGCUAGUUGGUGAGGUAACGGCUCACCAAGGCGACGAUACAUAGCCGACCUGAGAGGGUGAUCGGCCACACUGGGACUGAGACACGGCCCAGACUCCUACGGGAGGCAGCAGUAGGGAAUCUUCGGCAAUGGGGGGAACCCUGACCGAGCAACGCCGCGUGAGUGAAGAAGGUUUUCGGAUCGUAAAGCUCUGUUGUAAGAGAAGAACGGGUGUGAGAGUGGAAAGUUCACACUGUGACGGUAUCUUACCAGAAAGGGACGGCUAACUACGU